rnacentral:rRNA from 1 species
AACGAACGCUGCGGCGCGUCUUAAGCAUGCAAGUCGAACGGUAAGGGAGAGCUUGCUCUCCCCUAGAGUGGCGGACUGGUGAGUAACGCGUGGGUGACCUGCCCUGAAGAUGGGGAUAGCUAGUAGAAAUAUUAGAUAAUACCGAAUGUGCUCAUUUACAUAAAGGUAAAUGAGGAAAGGAGCUACGGCUCCGCUUCAGGAUGGGCCCGCGUCCCAUUAGCUGGUUGGUGAGGUAAAGGCUCACCAAGGCAACGAUGGGUAUCCGGCCUGAGAGGGUGAACGGACACAUUGGGACUGAGAUACGGCCCAAACUCCUACGGGAGGCAGCAGUCUAAGAAUCUUCCGCAAUGGACGAAAGUCUGACGGAGCGACGCCGUGUGAAUGAAGAAGGCCGAAAGGUUGUAAAAUUCUUUUGCAGAUGAAGAAUAAUCAUAGGAGGGAAUGCCUGUGAGAGACGGUAAUCAGCGAAUAAGCCC